rnacentral:siRNA from 1 species
UAGAUUUGAGUUGAAUGAUGGA